rnacentral:rRNA from 1 species
AAGACCUUGCGCUUUUGGAGCGGCCGAUGUCUGAUUAGCUUGUUGGUAAGGUAAAAGCUUACCAAGGCUUCGAUCAGUAGCUGGUCUGAGAGAACGACCAGCCACACUGGGACUGAGACACGGCCCAGACUCCUACGGGAGGCAGCAGUGGGGAAUUUUGGACAAUGGGGGCAACCCUGAUCCAGCCAUGCCGCGUGAGUGAAGAAGGCCUUCGGGUUGUAAAGCUCUUUCAGCCGGAACGAAACGGUUACGGUUAAUACCCGUGACUACUGACGGUACCGGAAGAAGAAGCACCGGCUAACUACGUGCCAGCAGCCGCGGUAAUACGUAGGGUGCAAGCGUUAAUCGGAAUUACUGGGCGUAAAGCGUGCGCAGGUGGUUUUGUAAGUCAGAUGUGAAAUCCCCGGGCUUAACCUGGGAACU